rnacentral:rRNA from 1 species
UGAGGAACAUGACUUUCGGUGGGGGAGUAGCCGGCCCAACGGCCGGGUAAUACCGCGUACGACCUUUUGGGGACAUCCCCGAUUGGUGAAAGCAGCAAUGCGCCGAAAGAGUGCCUCGCGGCCUAUCAGCUAGUUGGUGGGGUAAUGGCUCACCAAGGCGACGACGGGUAGCUGGUCUGAGAGGAUGGCCAGCCACAUUGGGACUGAGACACGGCCAGACUCCUACGGGNGCAG